UUCUGAUCAAAGCUGUAAUGCAAGUUCUGUAAUACACUAUAUGCCGUGUAAAAUCAAUCACGACGGUGCAGCAAACAUUACAGGAUUCUUUUCACCGUACGUUGAAAACAAGGACACAGAUAUUAUUAACAAAGCUGAUUCAGAAGCUUCAUUCCGUGGUUAUCCUUUGCAAGGCAAGAAAAUAAAAAUUCCAAAUGAUUUUAAAGGAAUUGUUGUUAACGAAACGAAGAAGCCUUUGACUUACAUGGAGCCAAGAAAUCUUGAUUUAAAAAAGAAUUUCUGUGAAAUAACCUAUUGGAACUGGGAUUGCUUUCCAAACAAAAAUGAUUUGAUUCAUCAGUCUGUGGAUUGGCUGAUAUUAUCAAAAA